GUUUCCACAUUUCUCUACAAACCCUUUCUAUUUAUAACACGAAACUCCCAAACCAAACAUGUUCUUCUCAAACAAGAACACAAAUUCAACCCCAAACCCAAAAUCAACCAAAACCCGCCAUGAGAAACGAUGGCAGGGAGGCCUUGUUAAACCGAAACAAGUUAGGACGCUGCGUUUCCCACAAACAAGACGAGCUAAAGAGCUUUAGAUCCUACAUAUGGUGGAUGUGCGUGGACCAAUCUAAUGCAUGGAAAGCAUGUAUUUCAUGGACCAUUUUCAUUUUGUUUGGGAUCGUUGUUCCAGCCAUAUCCCAUUUUGUGUUCGCCUGUGCCAUUUGCGAUGGAAAGCACAAGAGGCCUUACGAUUGUGUGGUGCAAUUGUCCUUGAGCAGUGUUGCGACGGUGUCCUUUUUGUGCCUCUCGUGGUUCGUCCGGAAGUUUGGGCUCCGGAGGUUCUUGUUUUUUGAUAAGCUUUAUAAUGAGAGCGAGACGGUGAGGAGGGAAUACACAGAACAGCUCAAUGUGAGUUUAAACCAAUUCCUCCAUCCCUCUAAAUAAUAAAUAUUUUGGUUUUGGUUUUAAUUUUUUUUUUUCCUGUGUAGAGAUCAUUGAAGCUUCUCUGCAUCUUUGUCAUGCCAUGCUUUGCUGCGGAGAGUGCAUAUAAGAUAUGGUGGUACGCAUCCGAAGCCACACAGAUCCCUUUUCUAGGUAAUGUUUACAUGAGUGCUGCAAUAGCAUGCUCACUGGAGCUGUGCUCCUGGCUCUAUCGUACGACCGUGUUUUUCCUCGUUUGCGUACUGUUCCGUCUCAUCUGCUACCUCCAGAUCCUGCGGCUACAAGACUUUGCCACCGUGUUCCAAGUGGAAUCUGAUGUGGGGUCAGUGUUGUCUGAGCAUCUUAGGAUCAGGAGGCACCUCACCAUCAUAAGCCACAGAUACCGUGGGUUCAUAUUGUGGUCGCUGAUUCUGGUCACAGGGAGCCAAUUUGCUUUGCUGCUCAUCACAACCAGGUCCGGUGCCACUGCCAAUCUUGAUGUCUACAGAUCUGGUGAACUUGCGGUAUGCCUUCUUUUGCAUUCUGUCACGGUUUACAUUUAAGGUCGGAAUCAUAAAUUUUUUAAUGGGUGGGCUAGCUAAAGUUAUUAGCUUAAAAUCUAAUUAUAAUUUUUUUUUUUAAACUAACAGUUUCUAUAGUUUUUUCUAGAAAUAAAAAUAUAUGUUAAAUCAUAUAAAUCAUGCUAGUUCUAAACACAAGAAAAAAAGGAACUAGAGCUAUAUUAUUCACGAAAGGGUGAAUUUUAUUUAGAAAAAUGCUUCACUUUUGGAGAUACGUUAAUGGAAAAGGAUUAAAAUUUAUGUUUGGGAUAAACUUUGACACCAAAUACAAAUGUGAAAGACCUUUGACUAUGCCUAUUGGUGUGGUAAGAUAUGCAAUUGUAUAUUUUUUAUUUACUUUUAGUUUAAAAUAUUAGGCUCUAUAUGUUUAAUUAUGUUUUUCCCGAAAACCUUCCUUAGGCUACAGCCUAGGACAACCCUUGGGUUAGUUCCGCCCCGGUUACAUUACUUGUUCAAAGUUGUUGGAUUGAACUUUCAACGCAAAGCAAUUUUUUGUUGUUGUUGUUGUUAUAUUUGAGGAAAGAAACUCUACUAGGAUUCGAUUCUGGGUGGGAUUGGGAGGGGGUGGUGGGUUACAAUGAACCACGGUAUAUCAUGCAUGUUCUUGGUGCAAUAUGUCAUUUUUAUAGUAUUGUAGUUGAGCUAUAUUUAGACAUCAACAGUUUUUUAGGCAAAAAAACUCAUCAUAUUCAGUAAAAUUUAUAACCUGAAUAAUGAUGUUUCAUCUUUUGGUACAGUUAUGCUCCAUAACUUUAGUCACAGGGGUCCUCAUCUUACUGCGUAGUGCAACUAAAAUCACACACAAGGCCCAAGCAGUCACAUGUCUCGCUACCAAGUGGCAUGUUUGCGCCACUCUAGACUCGUUUGAUGCAAACGAAGGAGAUUCUCCAACGACUAAUCCGAUCGCCGCCAAUGGGAGAGUGUUUCCGGUUGCCAGUAGUAGCGGAGAUUCAGACAGCGAUCUGGCAAGUGAUGAUCAAGAUGAAUUGGAAAAUGCUAAGUUGGACCUAUCAUAUUCAUAUAGUACUAUCUCCUAUCAAAAAAGACAAGCUCUAGGUAACUCAACCUAAUUUUAGUUAGAACAUACAUAUAUCAUCACCAACUCUUACCAUUCAUGAUAAAUUUUUUGCUAGUAGUUUUAUAGUCAGUCGCUCACAAGUGGAAAAUUCCUAAUCAUGACUAUUGAUGAUAUGUUGCAAUUCUUGACAAUUGAUUUGCACCAAAAUACAUUAAUGGACAUUCGUGAGUGACUGACCUUAACAUCAUCCUUGAUAUAACGUAAUCAACAAUAGAGUCACUAUUAGCUCUUAUAACUAGCCCAAGUAAUAAAAGUAAUAACAAAGUCUUACUAUAUAAUUACAACAACAUAUUAUAUUUUGCACAUUGGUAUUUGUGUCACUUAAUUUGAUGAUAUUAUUAUUAAAUAUUAGUUGUUGCAACUUGCAGUGACGUAUCUUGAGAAUAAUAGAGCUGGUAUUACAAUAUACGGAUUUACAUUCGACAGGACUACACUCCACACUAUCUUUAUGCUUGAGCUAUCACUCAUUCUUUGGUUGCUGGGAAAAACAGUUGGAAUUUAAGUUCAUACUAAGAUACAUUGAGAGAGAUAGUUAUAUAAUUUUGAAAGUUGCAUUUAGGAGAUGUAUAAUUGAUCACAAUUUUCCAUUACUUUUCAGUGUAUGGAUUCCCCCUUACUUAAAGUGAUUUUGUAAAUUUUUGUAAUUAAGCUGGGCAUUUUGAUUGAUUAGUUUGGUUUGAUUCAAUUAUAUAUACAUUAAAAAAA
rnacentral:lncRNA from 1 species